rnacentral:rRNA from 1 species
UACGAAGGGGGCGAGCGUUGUUCGGAAUCACUGGGCGUAAAGGGCGCGUAGGCGGGCAUCAUAGUCAGGGGUGAAAUCCUCCAGCUCAACUGGAGAAGUGCCUCUGAUACUGGGUGCCUCGAGGGGUGCAGGGGCGUGCGGAACUUCCGGUGGAGCGGUGAAAUGCGUAGAUAUCGGAAGGAACACCGGUGGCGAAGGCGGCACGCUGGACACCUUCUGACGCUGAGGCGCGAAAGCCAGGGGAGCAAACGGG